AACCGGAGGAAGGUGGGGACGACGUCAAGUCAUCAUGGCCCUUACGAGUAGGGCUACACACGUGCUACAAUGGCGAGUACAGAGGGUUGCGAAGCCGCGAGGUGAAGCUAAUCCCAGAAAGCUCGUCGUAGUCCGGAUUGGAGUCUGCAACUCGACUCCAUGAAGUCGGAAUCGCUAGUAAUCGUGGAUCAGAAUGCCACGGUGAAUACGUUCCCGGGCCUUGUACACACC
rnacentral:rRNA from 1 species